rnacentral:rRNA from 1 species
UGGGGAAUAUUGCGCAAUGGGCGAAAGCCUGACGCAGCGACGCCGCGUGAGGGAUGAAGGUUUUCGGAUCGUAAACCUCUGUCAGAAGGGAAGAAACCGCACUGUGCUAAUCAGCAGUGCCUUGACGGUACCUUCAAAGGAAGCACCGGCUAACUCCGUGCCAGCAGCCGCGGUAAUACGGAGGGUGCAAGCGUUAAUCGGAAUUACUGGGCGUAAAGCGCACGUAGGCUGCUUUGUAAGUCAGGGGUGAAAUCCCACGGCUCAACCGUGGAACUGCCUUUGAUACUGCUUAGCUUGAAUCCGGGAGAGGGUGGCGGAAUUCCAUGUGUAGGAGUGAAAUCCGUAGAUAUCUGGAGGAAAAUCAGUGGCGAAGGCGGCCACCUGGACCGGUAUUGACGCUGAGGUGCGAAAGCGUGGGGAGCAAACAGG